UAUUCAUUCCCCCAAACCAACAGUUAGGGAAGAGAGAGAGGCGAAGGAAGGAAGGAAGGAAGGAAGGAAGGAAGGAGGCAGUGAGUGAGGCUAGGUACCGUUUAUUGUUGAGCUUAAUUCCUGCUUGGAAACUUAUAAUAUGCCUAUUUGAACGUGCUACUGCUGCUGCUGCUGCUGCUGCUGAUAGAAAUAGAGCUCUUAACAGUCUAAGAUCAAUUGAGAAUCAAAGGGCUUGCAGUGGAUUAUAAUUGUUUAUGAGCAUGCUUGAGACCCCUGUUUGCUUUAGAGCUCAGAAUGAAGCGUUAUGUCUACAUUAAUGAUGAUGAACUGUCACACAACCUUUAUUGUGACAAUCGGAUAUCAAAUAGGAAAUACACCAUACUCAAUUUCCUCCCAAAGAACUUAUGGGAGCAGUUCAGCCGCUUCAUGAAUCAAUAUUUUCUAUUGAUUGCUUGCCUCCAACUAUGGCCGCUUAUUACUCCAGUAAAUCCUGCCAGCACAUGGGGUCCCCUCAUAUUGAUAUUUGCCGUGUCUGCUACAAAAGAGGCAUGGGAUGACUAUAACAGAUAUCUAUCAGACAAGAAGGCAAAUGAGAAAGAAGUUUGGGUUGUCAAGGAUGGGAUUAAAAAACAUAUUCAAGCCCAAGAUGUUCACGUGGGAAAUAUUGUAUGGCUUCGUGAGAAUGAUGAAGUUCCAUGUGACCUGGUUCUGCUCGGUACUUCAGAUCCACAAGGUCUUUGCUAUAUAGAGACGUCUGCCUUGGAUGGUGAAACUGAUCUUAAGACAAGAGUGAUACCUUCUGCUUGCAUGGGGAUGGACUUUGAACUACUACACAAAAUGAAGGGAGUAAUUGAGUGUCCAUGUCCAGACAGGGACAUUCGAAGAUUUGAUGCUAACUUGAGGUUGUUUCCUCCCUUUAUCGACAAUGAUCUGUGCCCUUUAACAAUCAAUAACACAACUCUUCAGUCAUGCUAUUUGAGAAAUACGGAAUGGGCUUGUGGAGUUUCUGUAUAUACAGGGAAUGAGACCAAACUGGGUAUGAGCAGGGGUGUACCUGAACCAAAGCUUACAGCUGUUGAUGCAAUGAUUGACAAGUUAACUGGAGCUAUAUUCGUUUUCCAGAUAGUGGUUGUUGUUGUUCUGGGAAUUGCUGGGAAUGUCUGGAAGGAUAUGGAGUCGAGAAAGCAAUGGUAUGUUCAGUAUCCAAUUGAAGGUCCAUGGUAUGAACUGUUGGUCAUCCCCUUGAGAUUUGAGCUUCUUUGCUCCAUUAUGAUACCUAUAUCUAUAAAGGUAUCUCUGGAUCUGGUGAAGAGCUUGUAUGCAAAAUUUAUUGAUUGGGAUGAAGAGAUGGUUGACCUAGAAACUGGCACUCCAGCACGUGCAGCAAAUACAGCAAUUAGUGAGGACUUGGGGCAAGUUGAGUACAUAUUAACAGAUAAAACAGGGACGCUUACAGAGAACAAAAUGAUCUUCAAAAGAUGUUGUAUUGGUGGUAUUUUCUAUGGGAAUGAGAAUGGGGAUGCCCUGAAAGACUCAGAACUGCUCAACUCUGUUACCUGUGGAUCACCUGAUGUUAUGCGCUUCCUCACUGUCAUGGCAGUGUGCAAUACUAUCACACCAAUUAAAAGUAAAAAUGGUUCAAUAUCAUACAAGGGACAGUCUCAGGAUGAGGAAGCUCUAGUACGUGCAGCAGCACAGAUGCAUGUAUCCUUUAUUAAUAAGAGCACAAAUAUCCUUGAAAUCAAUUUUAAUGGUAUCAUGGUACAAUAUGAAGUUCUGGACAUUCUGGAGUUCACUUCUGAUAGGAAAAGAAUGUCAAUAGUGUUGAAAGAUUGCAAGGAUGGUAAAAUUCUCCUGUUGUCUAAGGGGGCAGAUGAAUCAAUUCUUCCUCUUGCAUUGACUGGGCAACAAACACGAAGUUUUGCUGAAGCUGUUGAACAUUAUGCACAACAAGGACUAAGAACGUUAUGCCUGGCUUGGCGUGAACUAGAAGAAGAUGAAUACAUCGAAUGGUCUUUGAUUUUUAAAGAAGCAAAUAGUUCAUUGGUAGAUAGGGAAUGGAAAGUGGCUGAAGUCUGCCAAAGAUUAGAGAAGAACUUUGAAAUCCUUGGGGUUGCUGCAAUAGAAGAUCGUCUACAAGAUGGCGUACCAGAGACAAUUGAGACACUCAGGAAAGCUGGGAUAAAUUUUUGGAUGCUAACUGGAGAUAAGCAGAAUACUGCUAUACAGAUUGCUCUUUCAUGCAAUUUUGUUUCCCCAGAACCCAAAGGCCAGCUUCUUUUAAUUAAUGGCAAGACUGAAGAUGAAGUUUGUAGAAGUUUAGAGAGAGUGUUGCUUACAAUGAGAAUAACAAAUUCGGAACCUAGGGAUGUGGCUUUUGUUAUCGAUGGCUGGGCUCUUGAAAUUACACUUAAGCAUUAUAGGAAAGCAUUUACUGAAUUAGCAAUAUUGUCAAGGACAGCUAUAUGUUGCCGUGUUACACCGUCCCAGAAAGCACAGCUUGUAGAGCUCUUAAAAACAUGUGAAUAUAGAACUUUGGCUAUUGGAGAUGGAGGAAAUGAUGUAAGAAUGAUACAACAAGCUGAUAUUGGAGUUGGAAUUAGUGGGAGGGAAGGGCUUCAGGCAGCAAGAGCAGCUGAUUAUAGCAUUGGAAAAUUCAGGUUUUUGAAGAGGUUGAUACUUGUCCAUGGACGCUAUUCAUACAAUCGUACAGCAUUUUUGUCCCAGUAUUCAUUUUAUAAAUCACUGCUGAUAUGCUUCAUCCAAAUCUUGUUUUCUUUCGUAUCAGGUGUUUCUGGUACUAGUCUUUUCAAUUCUGUCAGUUUGAUGGCCUACAAUGUCUUCUAUACUAGUAUACCUGUUGCUGUCAAUGUCUUGGACAAAGAUCUUAGUGAGAAGACUGUGAUGCAACAUCCUCAGAUUUUAUUUUAUUGCCAAGCAGGGAGGCUUCUCAAUCCUAGCACUUUUGCUGGAUGGUUUGGACGAUCUCUCUUCCAUGCAAUUGUUGUUUUUGUGAUUACGUUGCAUGCUUAUGCUUCUGAAAGAAGCGAAAUGGAGGAAGUGUCAAUGGUGGCACUAUCUGGGUGUAUUUGGUUACAGGCUUUUGUAGUUGCAAUAGAGACCAACUCCUUCACAACGUUGCAACAUUUGGCGGUAUGGGGAAAUCUUGUUGGGUUCUAUGUGAUAAACUGGAUUGUUAGUGCUAUUCCUUCGUCGGGGAUGUAUACCAUAAUGUUCCGCCUGUGUAGACAGCCAUCCUAUUGGAUAAGCAUUGGGCUGAUAGUUGGAGCAGGAAUGGGUCCAGUGCUUGCGUUGAAGUAUUUAAGAUACACAUACAGACCGAGUAAGAUUAAUGUUCUUCAGCAGGCAGAGAGGUUAGGAGGGCCGAUAUUGUCCCUUGGAAGUAUAGUAGAGGCUCCUCAGGGAAGAGUAGCAAAUGAGAAAGAUAUGACACCGUUGAGUAUAAUAACGUCACAGGCGAAGAACAACAGAAACCCAGUUUAUGAACCGCUGCUGUCAGAUUCCCCAAAUGCCACAAGAAGAUCUCUAGGAUCGGGGACACCCUUUGAGUUCUUUCAGACGUCACAGUCUCGAUUGUCCUCUAGCUACUCCAGAAACUGCAAAGACAACUAACUAUCUAGAAAUGAUAAAAAAUACCCUCCCCUACAGUUUAGCUAGCUAAAUAAUUAUCUGCACGGAUGAGAAGCUGCUUGCUGCUGUUGAGAGGGGAGGAGAAGUCCAAAAUUUGUGUUGUAGCUAAUUUCGUAUGGAUGUACGAGUAAAACCAUUGAUUAUUAUUAUAAGAUUGAUUGAUGACUGGUUAUGGAUACAUUUAUUUUGGGAGUGAGAAAAGUACACAAGUAUGAGACUACAUUUCUAUCAAGACAUUUAUUAUUUACAUGCCA